UAUAAAAAAUAUAUUUAUGUUAUGUAGUCUUAUUUUCUAUUCUUUAAAUAAUAUAAUACAAUAUUAUACAUUAUUUUUUAGAAUUGAGAAAUACAUAUAAUAUCUUAUCCGCGCGUAGCGCGGUUAAAAAAUCUAGUGCUUUAUAAAUAGUCAACACCAACCACUAUAACGUCUCUAUCUAAAAUACACUUAACAUAUACUUAUAUAAUCGAAGUAAAAAUAAAUACACGUAGGGGGGCCAAAUCUUUAUAUAUAUAAAAGACUUUGUUUCUCUCCUGGGUGUGCCAACGAGGACGCCACGUCAUAAAUCCAAGCCCUGCCGCGUCGACACGUCAGAAACUCACCGUUUCACUAAAGCGUUCUUAUAUGGUUACGGGCUUUGCGGUGGGCUUUGUCAUGCAAUUUGAUGUUAAGGCCCGACGACAAACAAAUUUGGUAAGAACCCUAAUCCGGUUUGGAGAGCGCCUCCGUGUUCUUCGCUUCUCUCAUUGGCGGAGACGACGAUUUGGAUUUCUUUAACGUUAUGCGUUGUGAUUUUCUCCCAUAAAUCCUCUUAAUUUGCAAACCCACUACCAGACCUUUCGAUUGCGUCGUUUGUCGACUAAAUCGUGUAUAAAUAUCUCUCUUAUGCUAACCACGACUUCCACAUCUCUCUUCUACACAUCUUACUUAUAUUCAUAUCUCUGUGCUCAUCUCUGUUAAUGGCUAACACGACUGCUUUUUUCCGAUCUGAAGUCUGGGCGGUGCUCAUCCGUUGUAGAGGCCAGACUGCUUCGAUUCUGGAGGCUAGGAAUGUUAAGCGUGGUGGAGAGCCUAUGUGGAUGGAUUUGCUCAUGGUGGAUGUUAACGUGAGUCGUUUUUUGUUCUCUUCUUUGUAUCAAGCGUUCUGGGUUAAUAUUAACAAUUGUGCCGUUAUUCUUUCUCUGUGAGCUCUAGGCUGUUUAUAUGUUUGAUAUUUUUCCGGUGAACCUGAUCGUGUCUUACUUUUAAAAAUUUCCUUAAUUUUUUUUAGAUGCUGAUGUGCAUUGUUUCUUGAAUUUUUGUAAGUACAUGCAUAGAUAGAUAGGUCGUUGUGAAUAGAGCUAUCAAUUUCUCAUGCAAUCAAGUUCACCCACUAAUUCUUCUUCAAUGGAGCUUUAAUCCAGAUGAACAGAUUACAUGAUGAACAGAUUAAUGAUUUGUUGUAUUACAGAUGAACAGAUUAAUGAUUUGUUGUAUGCUGAUCCAUCUCAUGAUUUGUUGUAUUACAGAUGAACAGAUUAAUGAUUUGUUGUACGCUGAUCCAUCUCUUAUUUUCUUAAAUACUUCUAACUCUGUAAUUACAGAUGAACAGAUUAAUGAUUUGCUGUACGCUGAUCCAUCUCAUGUCACUUGCCAACACAAACACUGGUUUUCCAGGUUUCAAUUGUUAACCCUGCUAUACAAAUUAUAAAUUUCACUGCCAAGUAGCCUUAAUAUUUUCUUUGGUUAGCAGACUUGGUUGGCGAAGUCAGGGGCAUUAAAACGAUUUACAACGAAGAGACCCAGAGUACUUAACGUCUCAUGAGAACCACAAGGCUUGAUAGGUAUAUGACAACCCUGGUGUUUUUUUUUUUAAUUUCCCCCAUUACACACAUUGGUGACUUGCACGUUUGUUCAAGGAUGAAAAACAUGGUGUUUGGCCUCCGGCCCUCCGCAGGCACUCAACUGUCUGCUUGAGUGUAUUUGGUGGGCUUGCUGGGCAGAAGGACAAAAAAAGGCGCUACUCUGAUGUAGAGUAGAACCAAAGUUUGUUGUUGGAACAAAUAUAUAUACCCAAAGUUUGUUGGAGGUAAGAACGAACUCUCUUUUAGGAUUUGUACACUAGGGUCUUGGGGUUAAGUUGUGGUUGUGUUCAAUACAUAAGUGAACAAAUUUUUAAAAAAAAUGUCUACCCUAAGUUUGAGGAAGCCCCUCUUUCACGCUAAGUUGCUAUAUAUUGACGCCUAACCACGUUUAAUAUUGGCAAAAUCAUCAGACACAUAACCUCUUUGAUUGCAGGCAGGCUGUUCAUCAACGCUUCUUCUGGUACUCAUUCAGCUCCAUAGAACAUUCCGAUCAGAGAUAGAGACAGAGAGACACCAUUGGGUGGCCAAGUAUCAUGAGAGGAAAACCAAGAAGGUCAAGAGAUACCAUAGAUUCUUUUGCGUCUUGCAGAGAGAUUGGCAAGGUGAUUGAAUAAGACAUGAUUGUUCUUAAUUUUGGUUUACUAUUUUCAGGAACUUAUGAUCCUGAUUCCUGGAACUAGAUGGUUUCUUUUGUUUUCUUUCAAACCGAUAUUGCAAUAUAUUCUAGAGAAUUACAGCGUUUCUCGCACCAUGCCUGAUAUGAACAGGCCGACGAGAAAGAAAGUGAUUCGAAUCAGUCUUCACCAAAACUUGGGAUUAAAAUUAAAGUUGGCGGUGGACUUUAAGAGAAAACAGAGUAACGAGACACCAAAUAUAACACUCAAAUGAUUUCUUUGGACACAAGUAACUGAUAUGUGUUGGGAAGUUUUUGUGGCGUUUAAUCCUUCAAUGUAAAAACAAAAAAAAAGAUGCACAUUUAUGGGUUGGGUGAUCGAUCUUCUCUCUUUCUCAAGUCGCAAAUAUGAAAAUGAAUUUAAUUUGAUAUAUUCAGUUGCACAUAAUUUCAUAACUGUCAUAGUGGUACAAAAAAGAAAUUUCUAAAGUAAAUUACUAACAUUAAUCACUUUGUCAUAAUUAUUUAUGAAUAUACAGUAUUUGUGGUUUAAAUGUUGUUUGGGAUUCACACUCUAACCCAACUAGGAAGAUAGUUAGAAGUGUAUAAACAAACUUUUUAACCUUAGAACUAAAUGAUUCUAAAACCAAAACAAAUCUUAAAUCAAUUGUAAACUUAACAAUUAUUUUGCAUAAGAACUUAAAUAACCGACACAGAAGAGUAUUUAGAUCAUAAUUAAGAUUUAAUUCGACUUUUGAUCAUCUUGCUCAUAAUUCUAUCAGGAUUUUCAGUUAUAAAAACAAUAAAUUGUAAGUUUUAAUCCUUUCAAAUUUGAAUAAAACCAUGAAUAAGUUAAAAAUAAAUUAUAAUAUAUCUAUCAAUUUAUAUUUAUAAUGGUUUAAAAAUCACAUUUAUAUAUAUUCAAAUACAAAAAACGUUGCACAAAAAAAGACGUAAUAAAAUACAUGUCAAGAUUAUUAUAUUUUUUAAAGAAAUUAUUUUAGUAAAUAAUUAUUUUUUAAAGAAAUUAUUAUAGUUAGAUAAAUAAAUAAUUUUAAAAAUAAAUAGUAAAAUAAAUAGUUAAGAUUAUUGUAAAAGAUUAUGAAAGUUUAUGUUACUUUUAGUGCUGACAAAAAGAAUUAAUACUACUUUUACUUAAAAGUGAAUUUAAAAUAAAUUAAUAUUUUUAUUUUAUUUAUUCGACCCCCCGCCCGUAGGGCGGGUUUACCCUAGUACAAUACUAAAAGUUGGAUAUAAGCUCCAUUGAGCCUAUCCACGUCGGCAUAAAUAAUCAUCCAAUCAAAACAUUUCGUUUUGCCACGUCACAUACUGGUUUGUGUAUUGUGGGCUUUAAUUUUUUAAAAUCCGUUUUGUUUGAUAUAUGUUGCCCAUUAAGCUCAAUCAUAAAAAAAAAUCCUAAAAACCAGAAACGAUGAAAGAUGAACUCCAGACCCUUUAGUAUUGUUCUUCGUCGUUUCAAUUUCUCUAACUAAUUAACACACUACUCCAUCUCUGUGCAAUCAAACCUCUCGAAAAUUCACAUCUACUUGGGAGUACUUAAUCGCCGGUGGCCAAAUAUGCAGCUUUAAUAUAACCAAAGCAAUGAUUGCCAGAUCCACUUCUCCGGAAAAUUCGAGCACCGAAACACCAGCGAAAUCCCACAUCGUCUUGGAAAGCUUCAAGUCUCGACCUUUCUGCAUCCUCUGUCUGUUAACUUUGGAAUCUAGGAUCGUGGCUCUAUCAGUUCGCAUGAUCCAUCAAGACCCAAAUUGUUCAUAGUCAUUGAUACAUCCUAUUGUUUUCCGUAAAAGUUUGUUUAAUUCAAUUAUCAUAAUCAUGUUUUCGGAACAUAUGGUUCUGAGUUUUUUCUUAUUUUGUUUUGUUUUGUGGUUUCUUCCGUCAAGUCUCAGCUUUUUGUAUAGUUAUGUGUUUGCAGGCGUUUCCAGGUCAUAUGAACACUGUUUCUUGCCUAUGUUUCAGACACGGGAUUUCAGAAGUCUAUUCUGGUUCUUUUGAUCGGAGUGUCAAGGCGUGGAAUGUACAAGGUUGAGCUUUUGUGCAAGACAGUUUCGGACACCAGGAUGAGAUUCUAGCCAUUGAUGCGCUGAGGAAGGAGCGUGCACUUACUCUUGGAAGAGAUAGAACCAUGCUAUUACACAAGAUGUCUGAGACAAGUUGUACGAUUUACCGUGCACCUGCAUCGUCUCUUGAGAGCUGUUGUUUCAUCAAUGAUACUGAGUACCUGUCUGGUUCGGACAAGAAUGGACUGUUGAAAAAGAUACCAGUGUUUCUCCUUAAGAAUGCACAUUCCGUUGUAGCUGGUGGAAUCACCACUAAUGGUAAUUGAAUCUUAACAUCAUUUAGUUGCAGAGAUCAUGAUGCUCUGAAAAGUCUUAAUGCUUUCUUCUUUUCCUAAACCAGAAAAUGGUGAUCAUGAUUGUGUGGAGUAUAGCAACUCUUCCACAACGAGUUCUUGGGUGAGUUCAGCUGCUGUGUGAAGAGGUAGUGACUUUGCCGCAUCUGGAGCUGGUAAUGGUUUUGUGCAUUUGAUGGUUGUUGAAGCAAGUGCCCUUUGGAUCUUUAUUCAAGCUUCCACUGGUAAAGUUUAUUUCCUUAAUGUUUUCUAAUAUUAUGUUGAUGCAUCUGUUGUUUCUGAGAGUGGUUAAGAGAAAAGCAUUUCACUUCACCAAGUAGUAAUCUCACAGUGCUUCUUUUAUCAUGUUAGAAGACUGGAUUUGUGAACUCUAUGGCAUUUGCAAAAUCUGGUAAUUUUUGAUUGUUGGUGUUGGACAGAGACGAGAUUUGGAAGAUGGAGAUGCAUAAAAUCUGUGCAGAAUGGUGUGGCAAUACAUCCCUUAAGGCUGUCAUAAGGAUUUAAUGAAGAGUUGGUACUUAUAUUUUUCUGAAUCUCAAGUUAUGUAAUGGCUUCUACUACAAGAAGUUUUGCUCCAUUUCUGUUUGUUUUAUUGUACCCUAUUUUUUUAUAAUACAAGAGUGAGAAAAACUUUAACUUUUUUGAGGUCCUGAUGAAUCAAAGAUGUGAAGAACUACAUAUAAUUUAUAUAAAGGAUAACUAUUAGUAACUACUAUCACAUUUAGUUAAGAUGUUUGCUCAUCUGAACUUUAACUGUUCUUGAUUUAAAGCUAAGAGACUCCUGAAACAACUGUUGCCAUGACUAAGAAAUGUACUCACCUAUAAAGUGAAGCCAUUAACUUCAGUGGAUAAGUUUGGAUAUAAUGAACACACCAAAAAAGAAUGUGAUUUCACAAAGAAGUCAUCACCACACUUUGAAUAAAUGGAAAUCGUAAAGUUGCCGACCUCACAUUAACAACAUAUACAUACUUUUAAAUUUUAAUAUUGAAUCAGUAACGUAACAAACAAUAGCAAAGACUUUAAGUUUUCAGGAAUUACGUAACGGUUGCUACCUUAUGUCUUCGCCUCUUAACUUUUCUCUUGACUCUUAAGGAACUCUCAGCCUGCACACUUGAGAACAUACUCAUCUGCACACACCCUAACAAGGUGAAACAGAGCUUGCUAUUAGACGUACCUACACCCAAAUGCCACGGUGAAGAAGGCUCCUCGGGCCAACACCUUUGAAAGCAUCAAACUCAAGUAAAAAAAAUCACUAUAUAAAACUAAAAUAGAUCAUCAACAAUCACCAGAAAAAAUGUAACACACAUAACAAUAAAACAGACAUGGCAGUACUAUAGAAUAAAAUACACUAAAUCAUCGUACCAACUUUGCAUAAAGAAAAACACAUGAAGGCCAAAUCAAUAAGACAAAUAAUUAACAACAGUAUAAAAAUAUUAGUUAUUCUUACUUUAGAUUUUCUUCAAUGUCAAAUUGAAAUACAAAUCAAAUAUAAAAAAAUAGAAAUCACUACAUUUUACAUAAUUUUUUAAUUUUGUGUUCUUCUAACAAAAAAAAACAAUGUUAGUGGUCUUUUUUUUGUUACUUAUGUUAAUGAUCUUUUCAACUUAAAUAAAAAAUUAAUAAAAUAUACAAUUUGAUCUUAGAAUAAAAAACUAUUAUAAUUUUUUUUUCAAUAUAAAUUAAAUUUCCAAAUGUUUUAUAAAAUUAUAUUAUAUUUUAAUAUAAAAUAGUUUCAGUGUAAACCCACCUGUCCAUAGGGUUUCUGAUCAUAAGAUAGUGAAUAUUUUCUACCAAAAUUUUGCAGAUAGAUUAUAAAACUACAGGUUAAAAUAUUACAGUAAUUAUUAUGUAAGUUAUUUAUACCAAAAAUAAAAUGAGGGUUCUGUUAAAAAAACUAGAAAUUUAUAUUUUGUAAUUUUCUUUUGUUAAUUAUUAGUAUUACUUAUGAAACUCUUACUUGCAUUAACUACAAUGAUUUUUUCAAUCGUUAUUUUUUUUCUAUUUAAUUUAGAAUUCUAUUUCUUCUGUUUUUAAUUAUAAGUUUAACAAUUCAAUAUAUUAUAUAUAUAAACAAUAUGAUCGGAAAUUUUGUUUAAAAUAGUAGGAUAAAUGAUUAUUAUUGAGUGACCACAAACAAAUAAUAAUUUGUUAGUCAGAAAACGAAAAGCUAAUAUUUCCACGUCAGUUUUUGUCUUUUUGUUAUUUUAAAAGAAAAACAAGUAUAUCUAACCUAUACUAAAAGGUGAAUAUGAAGCCUUGUGAAACUAUCCACGUCAUCAAUUAAAAUCAGCCAAUAAGGUGUCUGAAAUUUGCCACGUCAGCAGUCCGUAAAUUUAUCUGGGCUUAAAGUUUAGCCGGUCCGGUUCUGAUUGGUUUCGGGCAGCCCAAAUGUGGUAGAUACGGCUUCCAUGUUAUCCUCUCUUCCAGAACUCAACGUGGCCGUCUCGGCUUUUCAGAGUCUCAUCUCUUCGCCUCCCCUUUCGUUAUCUCUUCACAUUCCCUAUGGUUCAAUGUAUUUGUUUUAAUUCUACCAUAAUUGUUAAUCCCAUUGAAUCCAGAUUCCAUGUCGUCUUCUCCCUUUCAUUCAUCUCAAAUCUAUAAAUAUAAGCAGGUUGAGAGUAUGAUGGAUGCUCAGCACGAUUGUCAGUUUACCAUUUUAUUAAGCUAGAAAAAUUUUCAAAAAUGUCUUCCUCCGAUGCUGUUUUUUUGCACUCUGCGUUUGAGGCUCUCCGCCUCUGAAGAUCCGGCCAGUUCAUUGUUGCCAAAUUAAUCUGUUUUUGGGACUUGAAAAACAUCAAAAAACAUGGUUAAUUCAUGGAAAUCACUCUACUUCUCUUGAUGAUAAGAAUUCGGUGAUACAUGGAUUCAUCCUGCUGGUCGCGCCUCUUACUACCGUCCGUCUUUGCGAGGAGGUUCAGUCGUGAAGUUAAUUAGAGAGAGGAAGGAGCUGUCAUUCCAGUCAAAAAUCAGGGACACAUAUGUGGAAGUUGUUGGGCGCUCUCGGUGGUUGGAGCGGUGGAUGGUAUAAACAAGAUCAAGACCCGAGAAUUGAUAUAUUUGUGGGAACAAGAGUUCAUAGACUACUACAGAGAGGACGGCAAUGGUGGCUGUGAUGGAGGGUUUGUGUACAGGUCCAUGUGAGGAUGGCUUUGGAAACCAUGAUGUGCUAGCCGUGUGGCAUGGAACAACAGUCGGAGGUGAAGACUACUGGAUUAUUAUUUGUAACUCAUGGGGGUCAUAUUGGGGAGAAAGCGGAUACAUCAGGUCCUAACGUAACUAUCAUAAAUCAACCGGGAAAUGCAAAGUCGCAGCACGGUCUAUACCCAAUCAAGCCAAGCUCUCCAUUUGGUUUGGUGUCUACAGUUGGUUCUCCACGAGCAAGGAAUGAAGCUAAGUUGAGAUACAAAGAGAAGAAACUCAAGCACAUUAUUGGGAAAAAGGUUCGAUAUGCAUCUCGCAGAGCGAGAGCUUACCCGAGAAAAAUAGUGAGAGGAAGAUUCGUAAAAGCUGGUGACAAUUAUGACUAUGACCCAUCAUCACUAACCAUGAAAUCAAUGAGUUUUCUCUUCCCCUAAAACAAUUUUUAUUUUGAAUCGAAGAAAUCAACAUGUUGCGGCAUGGAAACGUUGGAGACCUGCACAAAGAAUGCUUAGAUGUAGUGAAAGUGACGAAUUGGGUGGAAGGCCAAAAUGGGUGAAAAUAUAGCAAUUUUGCUUCUUUUUUUUUUAAAACAGAGCUCUUUCUUAUGUUAUUUACUUUUUUAAUAUUUCUAAUCAUUAUGUAACAGGGAAAAUCCUAACUACUUUUAUUUGUAAACUUAGAAAAGAAUAACUCUAAAAUAAUUUAUGUUAUAUACAUAUAUAUUUUUUUUUACAAAACUCUAAAAACUCAAACUUGAUUCUUCAUAUUUUAUUAGUUAAUUGUGUUACCUAUAAUAGAAAUAUUUAUUUCAAACUAAAAAUAUUUAAAAAAAACAAAUUUAAAAAUUAGUUAUAUAUAAUUUAAUAUACAAAAAUUCACAUACAAAUAAAAAUGAUAAAUGUAACAAUUUAAAUAAAAAAUAUUAUUUAUAAACUUAGAAAAGAAUAUAUCAAGAAUAUUCCUUUUUAGGAAAGAAAAUAGAAAAAUACAUUGGAGACAAAUCCAUAUCUAUUAUGAAAGUCUUCUAUUUUAGAGAAAAAAAUAGAGGAAUACAUUGGAGAUGGUCUAAGGCAUGGCCGACGUAAAUGAUCGACGUUGAGAUUUCAGCUUUUUUGAUUUUUAAUAUUCUAAUGUUUCAAUAUAAUUUGAAUAUUUCCUUUAUUUUAUAAUAUAAUGGUUUAAAAGUAUUUUUUGUUUCACUAUAUAAAUUAUUUUUAUAUUUUAAUGUAACUUUAUAUUUAUUGGAUAUUGUGUGGCCAAUAAAAUUAUGUAAAUUACUGUUUAAUGAUUAAAUUUAUAUAUUAAAUGACAGUUUUUUAAAGUAAUAACUUUUAAAUAUAAAAAAUUUUAAUUAAAACUAAUUACAUUUUGAAACAGAUAGAGUAAUCUAUAAACUAACUCUAUAUAGAUAUGACGACAAAAUUGUAAAGUGGUCUCACCUUGAAUUUCUUUCAUUUUGUGCAUUCUUAAUUGGAAGGAGAUAAUCAACAUCUAAUAUUAUGCUACUCUCAGUAUAUUAGAAAUUGUCGAACUGUAAACCAAUUAAAGAUGAUGUAAGGAAGACAUAAAGAUGUAUUUCCAGUUAUCACAAAUAUAUAAUCAAUUGACAACAACUUAAUUAUGUCCAGCGUAGAACAACAGAGAAGAGUUUUCAUACCUUCUAAUAUUAUAAUAUCUCACCACAUUAGUGGUUAAAUCAGUUUUCUCUAGCACAAAUACUCACUCGAUUCUUGGAGUUUAAAGCUUUUCUAUCUGAUGAUAUUAGUAGUUUGAUCCCAAAAAAAUGGUCGAACUGCACAUUGUAAUUGGAGAAAGAAAACAAACAAAAAUCAACCUAAGACUUUUAAGGUAUAUGAAACAAAAAUUGGAAAUAACAAUUCUUUGCAAUUAAAGAAUAAGGCAAUAAAAUUGUAAAAAUACAAAAUAAAACAAAAAA